UAACACCUUGGUCUGGAACUUCUAGUGUGUAAAAGUGUGAGACAACACAUUUCUGUUGUUUAAGACACACAAUCUGUGGUACUUUGAUACAGCAGCCCUGACAAACUAAUACAUGGGGUGUCUCAUUGUAGUUUUAAUCAGUAACACCCAUUAUGAACUGAAAACGUCUGCUACUUUUAAGAUCCAACUUGAAUGCUUCCUGAUUAAAUAUAUACAGGAGUGAUUUCAGAGGAAUUUAAGUUUUGGAUCAUUCUUUUGAGAAAGAAAGAAAAGUACCCUUUUAAAAGAGGUGGCUCUUGAACAACACAGCGUACUUUCAACAUAAAGACGACGAGGAUAAAGGCAUUUAUGAUGAACUACUUCCACAUAAUGAAUAAUUGAACAAAGGAGAGAAUUGUGAGAGUGAGAAAAAGUGAGACAAAGAAGAAAAACUAUAAAUCAGCAAAAUACAGUGCCAAGAGCUCUGGACCACAAAUCAGAAGACCUGAGCCCUAAUUCCUUUCCAGUCAUUGGAUUUGUUCGUCGCUUGCCAAAAUAGCAGCGAACUCUCUGUCAAACUGCAACUCAUUUUAUCGGAGCAAAAACUGAACAAAGAACUGCUAUCAUUUCUGAGGUCAGAGGCAGUGCAGCUUGUGUUACAACUCAAAAGAGUAAUACUCUGAAAAAAGAAAAAAAAA
ensembl:lncRNA PPFIA2-AS1 PPFIA2 antisense RNA 1